UGUGAAAAUUUCACCAACUUAACAAUCCAUACAUUGUACAGAAACUUGAAUACUUUGAUAUUUUCUCCCUAUAUUUGUUCCCUUAGUUUUUUAUGGAUACAACUAAACUAGAGGGUAUGCAUCAUAUCUUGAUCUUUUUUGUCGAUAUUGACACAGAUGGACGACUUCAAACUAGAAUCUUUUGCAAACUUGAUGAAUUCAACAGCUUUCCGAUUAUCAAUUACCCAUUU
rnacentral:lncRNA from 1 species